AGACAGCUUUCCACAGGCAAGGGGCAUGUGGCAUGUGUCCUGUUAGCAACAGGAAUUGUAACUAGUUUCCAAAAGUUUUAUAUCUUGUAAAUCAGCAUCGGUGUGUACACACACACUUGCACAGGGCUAGAUUUUUGAACAGCGAGGCAAAGUAGAGGCAGUAAAAAAAAAGAUGUCCCACACACUGGGAACCUCGUAAGAACCUGAUACACCUGAAAAAGGCUUGUGUUGUUGAUUGUACCCGCAUUGCCAAUU
rnacentral:lncRNA from 1 species